AGCAGCCACGGUAAUUCCAGCUCCAAUAGCGUAUAUUAAAGUUGUUGCAGUUAAAAAGCUCGUAGUUGAAUUUCGGAAUCAAUAUGUUGGUCGUGCCUUGGUACGUACUGGCAUUAUUGGUUUCUACCUUCUGAAGAACCUCGAUGUCAUUAAUUUGGUGUCUUGGGGAAUCAGGACUGUUACUUUGAAAAAUUAGAGUGUUUAAAGCAAGCUCACGCUUGAAUACAUUAGCAUGGAAUAAUAAAUAGGACAUUUGAUUCUAUUUUGUUGGUUUCUAGGAUCGACGUAAUGAUUAAUAGGGAUAGUUGGGGGCAUUAGUAUUCAAUUGUCAGAGGUGAAAUUCUUGGAUUUAUUGAAGACUAACUACUGCGAAAGCAUUUGCCAAGGAUGUUUUCAUUAAUCAAGAACGAAAGUUAGGGGAUCGAAGACGAUCAGAUACCGUCGUAGUCUUAACCAUAAACUAUGCCGACUAGGGAUCGGAUGAUGUUAAUUUUUUAAUGACUCAUUCGGCGCCUUACGG
rnacentral:rRNA from 1 species